GGGGCAUCAGCCCUGGGGUUUGACACGCGCGCACCUCUCACCGUGGAACGCUCACCUGCUCAGCCCCUACCUGCCCCUCUUCCCGCUCCCCAUCCACCAUGUUUGACGGUGCCUGCUGACUCUGAUAUCCUUUAAACCUAGGCUGAGUUUGUCUCUUUUCUUAUCACUACACAUGAUUGCACACAUCGCAGUGUCUUGUGGCAUCUGCCUUCUCUGGCUCACUUCGCUCAGUGUGGCCGUCUCUAGGUCCAUCCAUGUUGCUGCAGGUGGCAUUCUCCAUUCCUCUCUGUGACUGACUGAUAUCCCGCUGAGUACAGGCACCGCAUCUCCUUUACCCGUCACGUUCCUUCUAUUGAAAACAAUCCGAAGAAAGAGUGACUUUAUGUAUGCGUAUAGGUGCACCACUUUUCUGUACACCUGAAACCCAAAACUGCAAAUCAACUACACUCAAUACAAUUUUGGAGUGAAACUAUAAAAAAAAUAAUAAAACUUACUCCAAUAAAAAAGAAAUACAAG
ensembl:lncRNA